rnacentral:rRNA from 1 species
AGGGUUUGAUUCUGGCUCAGGAUGAACGCUGGCGGCGUGCUUAACACAUGCAAGUCGAGCGAAGCACUUAUGAUGAUCCUUCGGGUGAAUCAUUUGUGACUGAGCGGCGGACGGGUGAGUAACGCGUGAGUAACCUUUCCCAGACAGGGGAAUAACACACCGAAAGGUGUACUAAUACCGCAUAAGACCACGGGAUCACAUGGUUCUGGGGUAAAAGAUUUAUCGGUUUGGGGUGGGCUCGCGUCCGAUUAGGUAGUUGGUGAGGUAACGGCCCACCAAGCCGACGAUCGGUAGCCGACCUGAGAGGGUGAUCGGCCACAUUGGGACUGAGACACGGCCCAA